rnacentral:rRNA from 1 species
GGAAGUUUGAGGCAAUAACAGGUCUGUGAUGCCCUUAGAUGUCCUGGGCCGCACGCGCGCUACACUGACACAUGCAACAAGUUUAUUUUUCCUGACUCGGAAGGGUUCGGGUAAUCUUGUAUAAUGUGUGUCGUGCUAGGGAUAGAUCUUUGGAAUUAUAGAUCUUGAACAAGGAAUUCCUAGUAAGCAUAAGUCAUCAGCUUGUGCUGAUUACGUCCCUGCCCUUUGUACACACCGCCCGUCGCUCCUACCGAUUUUGAGUGAUCCGGUGAACCUUCUGGACUGUGGCCAGGCUUGACCUGGUUGUGGGAAGUUAAGUAAACCUUAUCACUUAGAGGAAGGAGAAGUCGUAACAAGGUUUCCGUAGGUGAACCUGCAGAAGGAUCAA